UUUCGCAAUGCCCGAAAGGGUGACGAAGCGACGCCGCGUGCGGGAAGAAGGCCUUCGGGUUGUAAACCGCUGUCGGGAGUUAAGAAAUGCAAGGGUGUUAAUAGUAUCCUUGCUUGACUAAGGCUCCGGAGGAAGCCACGGCUAACUCUGUGCCAGCAGCCGCGGUAAUACAGAGGCGGCAAGCGUUGUUCGGAAUUAUUGGGCGUAAAGAGCACGUAGGCGGCUGUGUAAGUCGGUUGUGAAAGCCUUCCGCUCAACGGGAGAACGGCAUCCCAUACUGCAUAGCUUGAGUGCGGGAGGGGAGAGUGGAACUUCUGGUGGAGCGGUGAAAUGCGUAGAUAUCAGAAGGAACACCGGCGGCGAAGGCGACUCUCUGGCCCGUAACUGACGCUGAGUGUGCGAAAGCUAGGGGAGCAAACGGGAUUAGAUACCCCGGUAGUCCUAGCCGUAAACGAUGGGCACUAAGUAGAGGAGUUUUA
rnacentral:rRNA from 1 species